GUUCUGGUGGCCUAGUGGUUAGAGUGUCCGCCUCAUGUGCGGGAGGUCAUGGGUUUGAUCCUCAGCCAAGUCU